UGGGGAAUAUUGCACAAUGGGCGCAAGCCUGAUGCAGCCAUGCCGCGUGUAUGAAGAAGGCCUUCGGGUUGUAAAGUACUUUCAGCGGGGAGGAAGGCGAUAAGGUUAAUAACCUUGUCGAUUGACGUUACCCGCAGAAGAAGCACCGGCUAACUCCGUGCCAGCAGCCGCGGUAAUACGGAGGGUGCAAGCGUUAAUCGGAAUUACUGGGCGUAAAGCGCACGCAGGCGGUCUGUCAAGUCGGAUGUGAAAUCCCCGGGCUCAACCUGGGAACUGCAUUCGAAACUGGCAGGCUAGAGUCUGGUAGAGGGGGGUAGAAUUCCAGGUGUAGCGGUUAAAUGCGUAGAGAUCUGGAGGAAUACCGGUGGCGAAGGCGGCCCCCUGGACAAAGACUGACGCUCAGGUGCGAAAGCGUGGGGAGCAAACA
rnacentral:rRNA from 1 species